rfam:Clostridiales bacterium S5-A11 contig068, whole genome shotgun sequence.
UGUAGAAAAGAAAGAUGCGCGUUAAGUGUUUAUGGAAUGGAGAUGCCAUAAAACGAAGAGUUGGCUCGCGAUGCUCUUUCGAUCCGCUGCG